rnacentral:rRNA from 1 species
GUCGAGAAUCUUCCGCAAUGCGCGAAAGCGUGACGGAGCGACACCGCGUGAUGGAUGAAGUCCUUCGGGGCGUAAACAUCUUUUAUAAAGGAGGAAAUUUUUGACGUUACUUUAUGAAUAAGGGGCUCCCAAUCUCGUGCCAGCAGGAGCGGUAAUACGAGAGCCUCAAGCGUUAUCCGGAAUCAUUGGGCGUAAAGGGUGCGUAGGUGGUUUGAUUAGUCUCCCGUUAAAACUUCGAGCUUAACUCGAAAAGAGCGGGGGAAACGGUCAAACUAGAGUAUGUGAGAGGUGUGUGGAACUCAUGGUGUAGGGGUGAAAUCCGUUGAUAUCAUGGGGAACACCAAAAGCGAAGGCAACACACUGGCACAUCACUGACACUGAGGCACGAAACCUAAGGUAGCGAAUGGGAUUAGAAACCCCUGUAGUCC